CGGACGGGUGAGUAACGCGUGAGAAUCUGGCUUCAGGUCUGGGACAACCACUGGAAACGGUGGCUAAUACCGGAUGUGCCGAAAGGUGAAAGGUUAACUGCCUGAAGAUGAGCUCGCGUCUGAUUAGCUAGUUGGAAGUGUGAUGGACUCCCAAGGCGACGAUCAGUAGCUGGUCUGAGAGGACGAUCAGCCACACUGGGACUGAGACACGGCCCAGACUCCUACGGGAGGCAGCAGUGGGGAAUUUUCCGCAAUGGGCGAAAGCCUGACGGAGCAAUACCGCGUGAGGGAGGAAGGCUCUUGGGUCGUAAACCUCUUUUCUCAGGGAGGAACACAAUGACGGUACCUGAGGAAUAAGCAUCGGCUAACUCCGUGCCAGCAGCCGCGGUAAUACGGAGGAUGCAAGCGUUAUCCGGAAUGAUUGGGCGUAAAGCGUCCGCAGGUGGCAAUGUAAGUCUGCUGUUAAAGAGUCUAGCUCAACUAGAUAAGAGCAGUGGAAACUACAUAGCUAGAGUACGUUCGGGGCAGAGGGAAUUCCUGGUGUAGCGGUGAAAUGCGUAGAGAUCAGGAAGAACACCAGUGGCGAAGGCGCUCUGCUAGGCCGUAACUGACACUGAGGGACGAAAGCUAGGGGAGCGAAUGGGAUUAGAUACCCCAGUAGUC
rnacentral:rRNA from 1 species